GCGGGAAUAGCUCAGUUGGUAGAGCAUCAGCCUUCCAAGCUGAGGGUCGCCGGUUCGAGCCCGGUUUCCCGCUCCA
rnacentral:tRNA from 2 species